AGGGCGUUUUGGUACAUGACUAGAGAAAAGUGUUCUCUUAUGUAUUUGAGAACAAAUCUUAAAGUGUAGCAUUAGCAUUUGCAAUACCAGAAACGUUCUCUUUGGUACCCAUGAGUACGGUUUUUUACAGUGAAGUUGGAAAUGUUCU
rnacentral:pre_miRNA from 1 species